rnacentral:lncRNA from 1 species
AAGAGAUUGAUGAAAUCAUGAAUAUCGACUGGGGAAUUAAACAGAAAUUUUUGGAUGUUUGUUGGUCCUUUACGAACUUCAAUGCCCAAUCCGUGACAUGCUUUACUGUAUCCGUGAACUUCAGUUGCACAGAUUCUUAUGAAUCUGCGUACUCUUUGUUUCUUUGCAAUAUAGUGGAGUAACCUACGUAGUGUACUUUGCUACUACUUUUAAUCUAUAG